UUAGGUUUUGCAUCAUGUUUUCUUCAAAAACAACCACCUGAUCCAAGACUUUUAACCACUAGACAACUGUGAAAACAGUUGGACCAGAGAAAACUUAAAUGUCGCUUCAGCCUCUCUGUGACAAGGGGGUUGCGUUUGAUAGAGGUAAACUUUCCUUUUGCUCCCUGCUUUUCUUUAAACUAAACCAUGAAUUGCCCUACACUUAACCUUUUUUACAGUGCAGUGCUUCUGGUAUCAGACGUACAGAAAAAGCCGUCACAGUGUAAUUACAAUGACUCUUGUGUUUACUCCCGACUAUAGCAAGACUAAGAUUUUACUCCUGACCCAGAGAAGGUUUGCCUGUUCCUUGACUUAUUCUCUAAACCUGCUCAAAGAGGUGGCAGCAUUUUAUUAAGUAUUCAAGGACUUUUUCUUUACUAAGUUGUUCCCAGUUCUGAUAGUGCACUCCAGCAUGAAAGUAACUUGAAGGAGUUCCAACUGUAGAAAGACCUGAUGGGAAAGCAGGAUCUGAAUGGAAUGGCUCUUUCUACAGGGGUGUGGUAAUAGUUGGAAAUUACAAUAUAUUAAAAUUCUGCUUUUGAAAUUACUUAACUGGAUACUUUAAGAGGUUAAAAGGUGCCACAAUCAGACUUAAGCUUGUUUGCCAACAUCAUUGAUGGAAUAAUGUUUUAAAUUGUAUGAGGUAGCCGUGGGAUUAGUUAAGACAUGUAAACUACGUUUAUAGAAAAAAAUGGCUUGAGUUUAAGCUAACUAUAGUUGUAUUUUAUUUCACGGUUCAUAUGCGUUGCAGGACUGAGGAUCAGCAUGGUUUGCAUUUGUCAGACGUUCCAGGAUAUCAGUAGCCUGGUCUCAUUUGUGUGGCAGGUUGUUGUUCAGUACACAGAGCCAGCCAGAACUGCAGGACUGUAGAAGAUGCUCAUCUUGCCAGAAAGAUUACUUCAUUACAGUAAAAAAAUAACCAACAAACUUUAUUCCUUCCAGACUUUCUACUGUCAAGGAGAAAAGUGAAAAUGUAGUGCUAAGUACCUAAAAUUUGUUUUCCAAACCCUUUCCAACAAGGUCAUACUGUGAUAUUAUCGAUCCUUUUAAAACUGUUGUUUCUGAAACAGUUGCUUUCACAAGGAACUUCAGAGAUGAGUUAAAAUAAUAUUAGUGGUGCAGUGUUGUUCUUGGCAUGUUCUUGAAGUUGCUUGCAAUUCCAAAAAUGUUGGGUGUUGUCUUUUUGUUUGUUAGGUCCAGCAUAUUGGGACGGCUCUGCGUAUACAGUAAGGCAAAGAAAGAAAAAUGUAAUUGAACAUCCGUAUCUGUCGUGUAGUUCUGCUCCUGCCUGCAGCGUGUUUUCGUUUAAUACAUACACAGACAAGAUUUUAGAUGUAUGCAUCUAGUGAGUGUGUAGGUAAUUCUGAUAAACUGUGCAAAAGGCUGUAAAGAUGUUCUAUAUGUUUAGCGACAUGAAGAGCAUAUUGGGUGGCUACAGGAAAGAGUUUCAGUAACUAAUAUAGGGAACCUUAGUAAGCUUCUGAACGUAAGGAAAAUGUCUAUGUUAAAAAUGGACAAGAACUGGUGUCUGGAGCCUCUCUUGGCGUGGAGUUGAUGGGAAACCACUGGGGUUAAUGAAAGACCUUACCUAACUGCAACUUGGUUUUUAUCCUGAGUGAUAUUACUAAUUAGAUUGUGGUCUUUCGCUUGGCAUAAACUAUUUAAAGCGAAGAAACGAUUUGUUAUGUAGUCUUGCAGAGGAAACAGCUGCAGCUCUCUGAAUAACCAGGUGUUGUAUUUGACAUUUCUUAGCUAUUCAGCGUCUGGAACAGUUUUAAGGCUCUUAUCCUGUAAUUAGAAAAGAGAAAUCUACUGCUUUCGACUUUAUUUAGUGGUGCUCAUGGGGUAAAUGUUUCUUUUUUAUGAACAAAUCUUGGAGUAAAUGGAGGGGGAAAAUUGGAAAUUCACGAUAGGAUAAGUGAGACCAGAAUUUGCCUUGUAGUGCUUCAGUCAAUAUUACUCCUGGCUUUCUGUUUCUCUAGCUGAUAAGUUUGCCAGAGUUCCUGUGCAGGCUGUAAGGAGCCGAUAUGAUCUGAGCCUCUGCUACAAGGUUUUGACUCCUGUUAAGAGUGUGUAUCUAAAUUACUUCAGAAGAGUAUUUUCUUUCUAAAACAUUGAUGCCAUCUUAAUUUCUGCUGUAAAUUAGACUGUAGAUUCUCAGGAUAAAUGUGUAUUUUUUAGCUUUAGCCGUUUUAGAGCACCACUUCUGGAUAUUCCUAAAUACCAGAGAUCACUAAGUCUGUGUGUACAGGUGAGGGAAUGGAGGUACAGUGACUGUAAGGAGCAGAUGCAAGGAGGGUGAUGGAAGCUUCAGCCUUGGUGUUGGGACCCAUUUUGUGUCCAUCUGGCCAUUCCCAUGACAUCUAGAACCUGAAAUCCCUGGAAAAUCAGAAUCGGUUUCCUUACAGGUAAGUCGGACAUCUUAGUGUACGGUCCGUCAAAACGGCACGCUGGACAAAGCGCUGCAUAGAGUUAGAUGACACAAAGAACGUGGGUGUCCCCUACUCCUUGUUAUUCUGAGGUUUUAUGCACUUUGCUGAGGAUUCACAGCCCUGAGCCUUUGCCUGAGAGGAGCUGUGAGUAUGCGCUUCUGGCCUGAUGGUUCAGGUUCUGCCAGCAAGUGUCGGUGUGUGUCCUGUUCACUGCUCUCUGAGACUCUUCAUGCACUUUCAAUAAACCAUGGUAGAUCUUAAGACUCUCUCUUCUAACUGAGCUCAGCAAAUCUUGAACUCCUUUCACAGUGGUACAGUUUCAGCAGGAAGAGCGGAAAAUGUCCCUGUGCUCUGCCUAACGUACAGCCCUGACGGUUAGCUAGGUCUCACUCCCGGCAGUCAGAAGAUGCAGGUGCAGCAAGGCCUCAGGGAAGGGAAGAAUACACAUGGGUCUCCUGCCUGCAAGGUCAAGAUGGCAAAGCAAAAGCGUAAGAAUUCAAAGGCGGUGGAAGAAGAGGAGGUGGAGGAGGAUGAUAAGGAAGAGAUGACAGACUUGAACACAACCCACUCUGAAAGCACUUUUGAAACUGAAAACCUAGAGGUGCUUGGGCGUGCUGGACAUCUGACCCCAGAGGGUGAAGGCAGCCGGUUCCUCCCGUCUGAAAAAAGUUCCGUGGAACUGGACUGCUGCCAUACUGUGACCUGCACAUUCACAGUCUCGCUAGCUGUCCCUGCCCUGCCUACGGGACAAAAGCAGAAGAUCUCCAACCCCCUUGAUACACAAGGAAAGAGAAUUCAAGUCGAUGAAUCGGGAGCUAUUCCAAGAAUGAAACGUUGCUUUCACAUUGAGUACUUCCUUCUACCAGAUGACCUCGUACCUAGAAAACUGGAUUUGGUCUUGUUUGGGGUGGUUGCAAAGCUAUUUACAGAAUCUAAUUCCAAGGCUAUUACACCAUGGUUUGAAAAUGACAAGAUGUGGAUAUCAUGGAACCAUAGUGUUGAUAUCGGUGUCACUAAUGAAUAUCUAAUAAAACUAAGAGAUCACAAAAUAAUUUUAAAAAUCUGGGAUACCAAGGACAAAGUUUCUUCAAAAGCGAAGCUUAGUAAACCAAGUACUAUUUCUUCACUAGAAGGGGGUGCAGAGGCUGUUGGUGGUGUAAAACACGCUGUGCUAUUGCAAAGAAAAUUCUUUGAAGAGAGUCAGCCAGCACACAGCUGUACAAAAAUCAAAGCAGCAAAGGAAUCCAAGGCACAGGAGGAGUCUUCAGCCUUUCCUGUUAAAGCAGAGGAAACUUAUCUGAAUGGACUAGCAACAUCUAAUUGUGGUUUGCCAUAUCCAUCAAGGACAGAUGACUUAUGUACAGUGAGAAGCGUGAUAUUUGCAAAAAACAGAUUUCUGGAUAAGGCCCAACUUCUGAAGCAGAAAGCAGUUGCUGGUCCUCCAGUUAAUUCAACUUCAAAAAAAACUAAGAAAACAAAUGAUAAUGUGGGAAAUGUGACAUAUGGAGCAGACGAAACAGCUACCACAAAUGGUAGAAGAGGUUCUGGUCCUAAAAGAAACAUUGAUACUACUAUGGCAGAGAAAUAUGGCAUUGCUUCACUGCAGUUAGAUGUCAUGCCUCUCCUCUCAGGAGAAAAGUCAGUGAUCAGUCGUCUGGCAGAAAAUAAUGCUAAAAUUUUAGAUGCUUACAUGACUUUCACUGUGGAAACACCUCUUCUGUCUGAAAGACAAAGACAUGAAUUAAAUCCACUGAUUAUAAGGAUUAAUUCAGCUACCUGCCUCCCAAACACACCUGUACCAAUAGAAGUGCUGCAGAGAUUGUGUGUUCCCACCUACUGCAAAUACAAAUUUCAUAACUUUCCACCUCAUCAAACUCAUGGACAAGUCCAUGGAACUCACGUCUACUUUAAGGAUGUUAAUGUACUUCUAACAGGGACGAUGAAACCUGGGGAAUUACAGAGGUGUCUUAGAGGUCCACCUUUGGAGAUUGAAGUUCAUGACCGGGAUAGAAACAUGGAAAACAACACAAAAAAGCCCUGUUUGUUUGGGGAAGAUGAUGCAGAUGAAAAAGUGGGUAAGGUGAGCUUCCUUGCUUGCAAAUCCACAAUCUGUAAUUCUUUUACAAAGAACAAAGUGUGGCAUCCACAUGGGGUAGCUAAAGUCAGUCUAACUGAUUUAUUGUUGGGUAGAAAGUACUUGGCUAUCAGUGCUCCCAUUCGUAGCUGCUCAGCUCCAAAUGCAGCUGCUUUCAGUGAGCAGGAUGAAAAAAAGAAGAGAACAGGAUCAGUGAGUAGUUCUUCCCUGCUACCUAUGGGACAUUAUCUGGAAUCAGACUCACUUUUGAAAGUAAGAGUGGAAAUAGCUGUGCCGUUGGCAAUGCAUGCAGAAAUUGCUGAUGCUCAAGUCACAGAUUGCCCAUACAGUUGUAUAAUCUACAUUUUUGACUACAAUAAUUCAUCUUUAUUACAUGAUUUGGUGGAAGAAAUUACAGAAAUCAAUGCUAAAGCCCUCCAGCUGGACUGCUAUCCUGUACACUUAAUCGGAAUGGCUCUUGUUGCAUUAAAACUGAAAACCACACUUGAGAAAGUUUCUGAGUUGGAUAUUGUUACUGGUUUUCACUUAUUGGAUGGAGCAACUCAUGUCCUUGUCUUGGAGGGAUUAAAAGACAAAGCAAUCAGGAGACUAUGGGAUAGACACUUUGAAAGAACUUACAGACAUGAAGACGGACAACUGGAGAUACUGUAUAACUCACAACUGUCUUUCCAUCAGCGCCGGUAUACAGACCUGGAAGCUAUCUUUUAUCAUUUCCGCCUCUGUCAGCCCCUCUUCACUAUAACAAAAGAGCCUCUGCUUUAUGUCAGAGGUAUGGUUCCUUGGGCAUGUUUCCAAGCCCUGUCCAGGCUCAAUUACCUUUGUCACAGUAAGAGAUUGAGGGAUGUAAUUCAUGGGGAUCUGCUGCCCUCAGCAGAGAUGAUCACAGUCUUGAGUCACGAGUAUGGAGUUCCCUUAACUGAUGAGGAUCUCUUCACUCAGAAACCUCCUUUACUCUCAUUUUCCUCUGAUGAUUGUACAGUACCAGGAAAAGUUAGCAGAGUGAAACAGGCAGUAUAUUCUUCAGUAGAUAACUACAAUGAAGUGUAUGUGCAGCGGAAGAAAGAAAUAGCAGACAAAAUGUCUUUUGAGAGAAACCUUAUUGUGGCUAACAUCGGUGCUGUAGGCCAACUCAAAGGAAAGAUGAAAAAGCCAAAGUUUGAAGCUUUCAGGAUUUCUCCUGUUGAUGGCAAAUCUGUCUUUAACUACAGCUCUCAGAGCCUGAAUUCUGCAGAACUUGCAAAGAAGCAUCUUCGCCAGGAAAUGGCAAAGGAACCAAAGAACGGAUUCACUUAUUCUUAUGAGUAUCUGUCAGCCACGUUUGACCCAGUGGAUGUGGUUGCUGCCUGUAAGGAAUUCUCUGCAAAAUCCAAGAGUAUGUGGCUGUCACCAGAUGGAUUUGUAUUUCCUGGAUUUAAGAGCAGCAUUGAAAGCAACCUGCACCCUCAGAUGCCUGAUGAGGCACGUCUGGAGGAGUUAAGUGAGAAAUGGCAGGAGAAUGCUCUGCAUGCUAACAUGGAGCCAGUGCUGUCACGAGACAGAUGGAGCUGGGACAAACGGCACCUUGAUUUUGAUCUUUACAAGAAGCCACCUGAGCUCUUCAUGACAAAAGCCCCACAGACUGUCUGUUGUCAGCCUUGUGAAGAUGCUACUCGGAUUCUGCAAACUACGUUUGAUGUUACCAAGCUGAAAGCUCACCGGCGCUCCUCAGCAGCUGAGUUAUCCACGUGUGGGCCGAGAGCCAGGUUUCAGCUACAGAAGCUCCGUGUACCUCCAAAAUUCUCACUCAGGAAGGCAGGACCAAUUUUGAAGCCUGUCCCAGCCCUGUCAGCGUUGGAGAACCAGUCCUGUGACACCGGGUCGGAUGCCCUCCCAGGAAGGAGGAAGGGUGUCACCAGUGGCUUUGUACCUGAUGACCAGCACAGCUUGAAGUGCAGCAAGACUGUUACCCCCCAGCGCAACAGAGAGCGUAAGAAGUUUGAAAAACUCUGAGGUGCACAUUUCAAGUAAGACCACCUUAUUGCUAGAAAUAGCAAAAGUCAGCCCACAUUAUUUUAUAUGGUGCGUGUCAAAGAGCUGCAGUAUACAGACAUUAUAACAAUAAAUUAAAUUAUUAGGGUGUAUUCCAAAGCAACAAACCAAUUAAUUAUAUAUAGGACAACUUGGCAUUCUUGGGCGGUCUCCUUUUCAAGUCCAAACUCCAGAAUUAAGGAAUGAGGUUUGCCCUGGGUGUCACUGUGCAUUACCUACGUUACGUGUUCACAGGUUGAGCUUUCCACAGAGCUGUCAGAGACACUGACCCUUCAGCCGUACGCCUGGCCUUACACCGGGGAACGUAAGCUGCAGCAUUUCUCAUCUAAGAAGCAUAAAUCUAAGCUCUUGAAGAGCAAUUUUUACCUUUCCAGUUUAACUACUAGAUAUUUCAAGAAGUUUCAUGUUAUUUGAACUUUCUAAAUUAAACUAUAUCAGCUGGCAAAUUUUGCAUUAACAGGAAACUUGUAGUUGCUGUCUCAAUUACAUAUGGAACAAUGUUAAAAGUGGUUUAAUUGGUAUUUUGUUCUUUAUUGUGGGACAUGAGUUCUGGCCUUAUUUUGCUGUCAUGUCAUCAAAUCAUGCAAGAUACUGCUCUGCUUCAUUUAAUUAUUCAGUUCUUGCAGAAAUGUAAUCUUGUAUUUAAAUAAAAACCCACACUUAUUGGUUUUAAAAAACAAAACAAAGCAAAGGGGCCAGCGUAAGGCCCUUAAGACCAGGGUCAGGAACAGAACAUGGAGGAGUUCUGAUUAAAUACAAGGAAAAACAUUUAAAUGGGAGCUCAGAGACAGUGAAACCACCACCCAGCUGGUGCUGCUGUCCAUAGUCCGGUGGACAUGAUGACCUCCGGAGGUCCCUUCCAAACUGAACUGUUCUGAUUCUGCAAGUCUUUCAGUGCUUCUCUAAAGCUACUGAGUGUCAGAGUUGGGAUGACCCCUUCCUUCACUCAAAAUUGACUAGAAGACAUUUUUGGUACUAAACCCAGAAGGGGCUUACAUACACAAAAUAUGAAGACAAAGGUUAAUCAGUUUGGAUUUGUCUAACACCUAAUUGUAGCAAAUUUAGUUGUCCUGUAGCAUAACUGUUACCAUGAUACUUUAAAUGAGCUACUACACAACCACCUGCAUUUCAAAUGCUCACUUUACUGUCAAUAAAUUUAUUGACAAAGUAUUGUUGUUA